rnacentral:rRNA from 1 species
UACGGGGGGGGCAAGCGUUGUUCGGAUUUACUGGGCGUAAAGGGCGCGCAGGCGGUUCUGUUUGUCGAGUGUGAAAGCCCCGGGCUCAACCUGGGAACUGCGCUCGAAACGGCAGAACUAGAGUUCGGGAGAGGAGAGUGGAAUUCCCAGUGUAGAGGUGAAAUUCGUAGAUAUUGGGAAGAACACCGGUGGCGAAGGCGGCUCUCUGGACCGAUACUGACGCUGAGGCGCGAAAGCGUGGGGAGCAAACAGG